CCAGUUCGAAAAUGAAUUUUUACCCAUUUCAAGCUUUUCUAGAAAGCUCAUUAAUCCUCUAUUGUCGGUUACAGUUCUCCGAGGCUCACGAUUAAUCUUUUCUAAGAUCACCAUCCAUCGCUCUCUUUGAUCUUCAGAAACCCUAAAACACUCUUCAAUCGGGUUCUCGUUCUCUCUGAUGUCCCGGUCCCAGCGAUUCCUAAGCAUAUUUUGGCACCACGCCUUCUAGGUAAAUCUCUUCGUUCCUUCUUAAACUUUUUGAUGCUAGUCUAUGAGCAAUUAUGUUGGCUGAUUUUUGCACAUGUUUGAAAUGGAUGCUUUGAAACCCUCUCCGAUUGUGAUGAAUGUCUCUGAUGUAUGCACUUAUUUCUGAUUUGUCAAUGGCUAUGGACUGACAUUUCUUUAUUAUCGUUAAUGCAUCGCCUUCCACUUCUAACUUGUCCACUCCCAUUGCUAAACCCAACCACACCGCUUGAGAACAUGCACGCACCUUUGCUACAAAUGGCGAUGUAAUCUCAAUGUUUAGCAACGAUUUCAAGACCAAAACCUUCACCUCUGUCAUUCCUAUUCACCAAUCCCGAUGCCGAUCUACACUACCUACAGUCAAAAGCCACGUCAAAAUUGGUUUUUAUGAAGUGGGUUUCCAGUGAGCACCACUCAGACAUUGCCCACUGUUUGGUAAGGGAUCUCGCCCCUAUUUAAUCAAUCUCUUUAAUGUACCUCUAGGUUAUUUCAGCGAUCCCUCUCCCAGUACUAACCUUCCCUUCAUGCAGAGUCUUAUUAUGUUCAGUCCAAAUAACCCAUAAGACAGUACAGAAAGAACGACAUUAAGCAGUGGUACUCCUACUGAAAACCCAGGUAAGCCAUUCCCAGUCUCCUAAAUGCUGCAUCGAUGUAACCCAUAUGAGAUCUAAGGCAAUCCAUGCUUCUAUUGGUACAGUGCAUACUUGAAAUACAUGCAUAAUAUUCUCCUCUCUCCCUCUGCAUCUUGGACACACAUGACUUCCCCCCAGCCUACGCAUUUGUAAAUUACUAAAAGUGGGCAAAAAACCCCCCAUGAGAUUCUCCAAAUUAAUUAUAAAUAAACACAUAUAAAAUAAUAUAUGGACAGAAUUAGUUAUAGUUAAUUUAUCAAAUAUGAAAAUAAAAUAAAACCAUAUUAAACAAUUGAAAUAAAUGAGAAUUGAGAUUUUACGAAACGUUGAGGCCCGUGAAACGUGGUUUCCUUAAGAUAAGUUUCCCUAUAUAACCUUUCAAGAGAGUUCACAUAUAUAAACACAUGCCACACUUGGUAUUUAACCAAUGUGGGAUUUAAUCCUUUUAUUUUUCCUCAACAAUAUUUCUAAGUAGCUUACUUUGAGCUUCAAUUUCUCAUUCAUCACUCAACCCUUUUGAGCAUAUGAUAUACCGUUGUAAAGGUCUCAUGGAGUAGAAUAUGAAAUCAUAAAAUUAUGAUUCAACUCUCUACCUUUACCUAUUGAGAAUAUGCCUCAAAGUUACCAUCAAAUGUAAUUUUUCCAACAAUCUCCCACAUGAAUAAAAAUUGAUAGUUUUAUCGAAAAACAUUGACUCGAUGUGGUGAUAGAAUCUACAAUCGAUAGUUGUAUAGGAUAGGUAGGUAUCCACCCUUGAACCUUCCCUUGCGAAAGUAUAUUUAUUUUACUAGUUGACCAGUAGACGUGAUGUCCUUGAACUGUUCUGCCUUUUGUGUAAACGAUGAUAUAUCUCACACAACUACCUCAUUGGUAAGGUUUUAGUUCUCCUGGGUAUGUUCAUAUAGCCGUGAACAUCUCCUAGUUCUGUAAGAGUUUGAGAGAACUAUGCCCCAAUAGUCUCCUUGAAGCGGCCUCACUUCACUCUCACAUAGGUGACUUAUGUUGUUCGGCUCACCGAAACACACAAUGGUCAUUUAAAGCAUUGCUUAACCUAUUCCCUUUUUAGUCACUGUUUACGUUAUAGGAACGGAUUUGGGAUAAGUACCCCCACAGUGACCUCACAAGGUCUAUGCAAUUAGCCCUUUGAACCUAGAUCUUGGGAUCUCCAGUCAAUUAGGUAGGGUUUUCCUUCACAUAGCGCCUUUUAUUUUCAUGAGAUUUAGUCACAUUCCUUUCAAUGUUUUAAUAACAUGAUCUCGGUUUAAGCCUUAGUUAGCAUAUCCACAAUGUAGAUAACUCCGUUUGAGAUAAUUUGUUUAACAAUAUUAUGUCGACUACACAUAUUUCUCGACUUACCAUUAUAUGUUAUGCUAGUAAGACACCCCCACACUUUCAAGUGGUUGUAAGAUGGUUUUCUACCUUUCCAUAACUCAUAUGGUGUCUUGUCCCUUUUCUUACAGAAAACCUUAUUUAAAAGGUAAUUAGCUGAUAGAAAUGCUCCCCCUUACAUUUCAUGUGAUAACCCAGAGCUUUUUAGCUGUGCGUUCAUCUUUUCUUUUAGAAUCUGAUUUUCUUCUUGGUUAUUCUAUUUUAGGAAAGUAUGGUGGUGUUAUUGAAAUGAUUCAAUAUAUCCACCACCACGAUUACUUAACCUUUUUAUUAAGUUGGUUUUCAACUUUUUGCUUAUAGAGAAUAAAUUCUCUUUGUCUUAACUCGUAGUAAUGAAGGAAAUAAACAUUUUUAUUCCUUCCUCUCAUUUAAACAGGCUUUACAAACAUUGCUAUGUAUUAGAUCAAGUGAUUUUUUUGACCUUUAUUAAUUUACCUCAACACAUGUUUUACAUUUAUAAUUAUAAUUAUUACUAAACGAAGGAAUGUGCUCUAAGUUAAUUUAUGUACGUAAAGUACCAUAAUUAACAUAUCCGAGCCUACUAUGCCAUUAAUUAAAUGACUUAAGCAUAUGAACAAGAAAGAACAACAUUCUUAUUCAAACAUAGUAUUUAGUUUAAUACAUAUUUCCUUCCUACAAAUAUUCGCCUUUACUAAGAACAUUCAUAUUCAUAGUUAGACACAUAAUUCCAUAUCGGGCACUUCCUUGGAAAUUUCUUCCACAACGUUAACCUCGUUAGCUCUAAAUUUCUUUGGGAUCCUACAGUUGGAUGACUUGUGCCCCAUCUUGCUGCAAUUGCAGCAUUUUCCUUAAAAUUUUUGCUUCUUCAAAACACCACCUUUUGGUCCCAGUUUAGGCCCAUUUUGCGAUUGUUUUUCCUUCUUGAAGUCUUUCUUGACUUCUACGACAUUUGCUCUAGCAACAUUAUCAUUUCUUGCUUUGUUGAGCCUCUUUUUCGUACCUCUAUUAUCUUCUUCAAUCCAAAUUUUGACAAUUAGGUCUUCCACUGACACGUCCUUUCUUUUGUGCUUUAGGUAAUUCUUGAAGUCAUUCCAAGUAGGAGGCAACUUUUCAAUAAUGCCUGCCACUUGGAAGGAUUCACUUAUUAUGAUCCCUUUAGCAAAAAUUUUGUGAAUGAUUAGUUGAAGUUCCUGCACUUGAUUCACAACUAAUUUAGAAUCAACCAUUACAAAAUUCAAGAAUUUAGCAACUAAGAACUUUUUAGUUCCAACAUCCUCUGCUUUGUAUUUAUGGUCUAACGAUGUCCAUAAUUCCUUAGUUGUUUUCUUAACAUUAUACACUUUGUAUAGUGCAUCCGACAAUCCAUUUAGGAUGUAGUUUUGGCAUAGGAAAUCUGAAUGUUUCCAAGCUUCAACAGCAGUGAAAGCGGUAACUUCAUCUACCUCGCUCUCUUUAAUAGUAGGAGAGUCAUUUUUCAAAAAUUUGGCCAAGUUCAACAUGAUAAACUAAAACAACCUUUUUUGUUGCCAAGUCUUGAAAUCCUGUCCCGAGAAUUUUGCAGGUUUCUCGUUGUGGCUUAUAGCAGCCGCAAUGUAACAACCCAAAUUUUGGGCUAGUCGGAAUAGUGGUUUCGGGACCACAAAUUCGACGAGAAAAAAUAUUUAUUUUCAUUAUAUUUUUAUGGUCUACGAUUUCACAAAAUAAUUUCGUGAAAAUUUCGUUCAAAAAUUUUGACGUUUAGGCACUCAAUUUAGUCAAAAGGACUAAAUUGUAAAAAGUGCAAAAGUUGAGUUCUACAUGUUAGAAGUGUCCAAUUGUUAUGAAAUUUUAAAUUGGAGGUCCCUAAAUGGUAAUUAGACCAUUGUUUAACUUGUUGGACAAAAAUAGAAAAGAGAUAAGUGAAAUAGGAAAAUUUUAAGUUGGGGGCAUUUUGGUCAUUUAGUAACUAAAAGAAUUAAAAAGGCCAAAAUAACCAAAAAUUUGUUCAUCUUCUCCAUGGUGAAUGAAAUCAGCAAGGGGGAAGCCAUAUUUAGGGUUUUCAAGAUUCCAAGCUCUAUUUUUAAUGUUCUUUACGUUUUUGGAGUCCCAAUAACUUAAUUUAGCUUAUUCUAGCAAUAAUUUAAUCUAGGGUUUAUAUUUGAAAAAAUACCCAUAGGUGAAAUAUGUUUAUUUUGAUGUUUUAUGGCAGAAUAUGAAGCUUGAAAUUAUGUUAAAUAACUUUUGCUAGCCGAUUUUAAGUGAAAACGAGUAAAUUGACAUAAUAGGUAAAAAUACCUAAUGUUCAUAAGUAAGUGUUAGAGUGAGAAUUUGAUGUUGCCAUAUAAGGGAAAAAUGUUCAACAUGUCAUAAAACAUAAGAAAAGGAAUAAAGUUUAAUUUCUAAGCCUAGGGGCAAAAUUGUAAUUUUGUGAAAUUUUAGGGGCAAAAAUGUAAUUUUUCUAAAAUGUGAUUUUUGGACUGGAUUGAAUAAUUUGAGUGUUAAAUAAGUUAAAUGUGUUAUUAUAAGUCAAGAAAGACAAUGAAUUGACUUUGAUUAGUGAAAAAGGAAAAAAUGAGAAAAAAUGAGAAAUUUCCUGAUUUAACAUUCAAAAUAAAAAGGGAUACGAAUGAAGUGACAGAAAUGAUUACAUGUGUGGCAUGGAUUGUGUGUAGGCCACUAUGUGAAAGUGAAAGUCAUGGUCACGUGUGUAGUACUAUAUGCAGGCUACUACGUGUACCAAAAUGAUAGGUCGUAUUUGUAGUACUAUGUGCAGGCUACUAUGCGUACUAGAUAGCUUCGAUCACGUGUGUAGUACUAUGUGUAGGCUACUAUGUGUAUCGGAUAGUGAUGGUCACAUGUGUAGUACUAUGUGCAGUCUACUAUGUGAACCCGUAUCAUUAAUUAUAAGGUGAUUGCUAUGUGCUGAUCCCACCGGAUAUCAUUGAUUACAAAGGGUGGUUGCUGUGUGUUGAAUCCACCGUGUAUCUGUUAUUAUUCCGAAGUGUUCAUCGGGAAAUUGACUAAGUGAAAAUACAUGAGAUCAUGUAACGAUUAAGUGUGAUUGAAUGAUGAAUAUAUGUGUGGAAUUGAAUUGAAUAAUGAUUGAAAGUGAAAAAGGGAAAUUAUGAAAAAGUAAAAUUAGCAACAAAACAGUUUUGGACAGUAACAAUAGUGUGACUUUGAAAAAUCACCAAAAAUGGUUAAAAUUGAAUUAGAGAGUGAAUGAGAUAUGAAAUGAAAUCUUAAUGAGUCUAUUUUUACAUAAAAGAAACAGAGCAAGCAGAAGAGUUAUAUAUUUUGAGAUAUUUGAAUUUUAGUGAGGUAGGAUCGGAUUGAUUUUGGAAUCCCCUGUCCUAACUUUGGAAAAUAAUUACAAAUUGUACAAAAAUAAUAUGAGUUAUGAUUUAUAUGCUUAGAAUCCUUAAUGAGUCUAUUUUCAAAGGAAAUAAACGGAAAUAUCAUCUAAAUUCUGUAAAAUGAGAUAAUUCAUUUUUAGUGAAGAAAGGUCAGAGAUGUUGAGCAGUGAAACAAGGGUGAUUUAAAUAAUAAAAUUUACUAAUUAGCUAAGCCAAAAAUUCUUAAAAUUUUAUGGUAUGAAGAUAUGGGAGUCUAGUUUCGGGAAAAAUUAACGGAACUUAAUUUGGAGCUCUAUAGCUCCAGAUAAAAAUAAUUUAGUGACUGUAACUCGACUAGACAACUUUGAAUUUAAAUAUAAGUGAAUAGUGAAAUUAUGUAUAAUGCUAUUUAAGAAUGUUAUAUAGAUAAAGGUUGUGGGAUGGAGAGGAGGAGGAGGACAAUAAAGUAUAUGAAUUAAUUGUGUAUAAUUGGUUAAAUGUCUGAUUAUAAUCGAUAAAUGUUGAAAUAGGAGUGAUGCUUAUAUUGGUGCAUUAUUGGUCAUGGUCAGCUCAUGAGAGAAAACAAAGUUUCAUAGCAUAUGCGUGUGGUAUAUUUGGCAUGAAAUGGUGUCAUGAGUGGCUCAUGAAUUAACUGAUGUUGGUAAGUUGAUGCAUAAUUAUAGUUUUCAAAUAUAUACAUAUUUGUAAUAUUUUGUUAUGUGAUUCGAAAAAGGGGAAUAAAUAGUAUACUAAAAAUUCGGCCAUGGUGCUAGUUUAUGUUGAAGGAGUGUUUUAUGACAUAUCUUAAGUAAUGGAAUGUUAUGAAUUUUGAGAUUAAUUUGCUAGUCAAAUAAAUGACAAAUGAAUUGAUUACGUAUUCGUAAUUUUGACAUAUGCUUGGUAUAUGAAACGUAACAAUAUAUGCUUGAAUAAAUUUUAAGUAUUCGAAUGACAUGGAUUUAUGGUGAUAAGAUCCGAACAUUGAAUUCAUGAAGCACAGGUGAUGUAUUAUUGUUGUGUGAUAGCUUGGUUCGAGGAAUUGGUUAGGUAAAUGGUAAAUGAAAGCAUUUAUGGCUAUAGAAGAAAAUUUGGAGUGAAUAUAGAUCAAAGAUAUUGAGCAGUGAAAUAGGGGUGACUUUAAAGAAUAAAAUGUACUAAUUGUCUAAGACAAAAAUUCUGAAAAUUUUAUGGUAAGAAUAUAUGAGAGUCUAGUUUCGGGGAAAAUUAACGGAACUUAAUUUGGAGCUUUGUAGAUCUGGAUAAAAAUAAUUUAGUGACUGUAACUCGACUAGACAACUUUGAAUUUAAAUAUAAGUGAAUAGUGAAAUUAUGUAUAAUGUUAUUUAAGCAUGUUAUAUACAUAAAGGAUGUGAGAUGGAGAGGAGGAGGAUGACAAUAAAAUAUAUGAAUGAAUUGUGUAUAAUUGGUUAAAUGUCUGAUUAUAAUCGAUAAAUGUUGAAAUAGGAGUGAUGCGUAUAUUGGUGCAUUACUGGUCAGCUCAUGAGAGAAUAAAGUUUCAUAGCAUAUGCGUGUGGUAUAUUUGGCAUGAAAUGAUGUCAUGAGUGGCUCAUGAAUUAACUGAUGUUGGUAAGUUGAUGCAUAAUUAUAGUAUUCAAAUAUAUACAUAUUUGUAAUAUUUUGCUAUGUAAUUCGAAAAAAGGGGAAUAAAUAGUAUACUAAGAAUUCGGCCAUGGUGCUAGUUUAUGUUGCAUGAGUGUUUUUAUGACAUAUCUUAAGUAAUGGAAUGUUAUGAAUUUUGAGAUUAAUUUGCUAGUCAAAUAAAUGACAAAUGAAUUGAUUACGUAUUCGUAAUUUUGACAUAUGCUUGGUAUAUGAAACGUAAUAAUAUAUGCUUGAAUAAAUUUUAAGUAUUCGAAUGACAUGGAUUUGAUGGUGAUAAGAUUCGAACAUUGAAUUCAUGAAGCACAGGUGAUGUAUUAUUGUUGUGUGAUAGCUUGGUUCGAGGAAUUGGCUAGGUAAAUGGUAAGUGAAAGCAUUUAUGGAUAUAGAAGAAAAUUUGGAGUGACUAUGAAAUUUAGUUCAAUUAAAUGAUUUCAUCAAUUAAAUAUUGUGUAUACCAGAAUGUGUUAGUGAAUUACAUAUUCGUAAAUUGACAUUCAAAGUUCAGUUAGUGAUAUAUGAAAAUAACAUGAAAAGAUUUAUAAUUGUGAUUAAUAUUGGUUCUGACUUAAAGUGGAUUCUUCAAUAUUGGAUUGAUUUAAUGGAUAUAUUGGGCAUAUGAAUAGGUAUGUAUUGGGCCUCGUAAACCCUAAUUAGCAACUCGAAGAUAAUAAUUUGAAAGUUUUUAAUUUGGAUGGAAUUUUAUAACUCGAUUUAAUAUGUUUAUAAGUGUAUUUAUUCUGGUAAUGUCUUGUACCUUAUUCCAGCAUAGAAUACGAGUAAGGGGUGUUACAAUGUGACAUCACCAGAUUUGGCCCUAAUAUUUAGGUCUGGUUUGGGGUGUUACAUUUAGUGGUAUCAGAGUUAUGGUUUAGUCGGUUCUCGGACUAACAUAGGGUAUGUGAGUUUAGCUAUAUAUGUCAUAUUAUUACUCGUGAUAGUGUAAUACCUUCUGCCUCUAAGGAAAUUGUUCUGUUAAGACAGAGAUGACUUCUAACCGAGCUGCUUUCAAUAAUGCUGAAAAUUUAUAUUGAGGUAAUUGAAAUGUGUUUAUGAUGAAACGAAAUUUAGAAAGGUAUAAAUAAUGAAAGAAUAAACUUAAAAUUAUAUGAUUGAAUUUUUCCUCAAGUAAAUUUGAUUAAAGUUAGUAAGUUCAAUAAAAAUAUCUGUUUCCUUAAACUAAUAUGGUUAAAGGAUCUUUGGUUUGCAUGCUAAAAGAAUGUUGAAAGAUUGUGUGUUUGAGCUGUAUCCUCAGCAUGAAGAAAAUAGUAUCUUGAUAUGUUAGUGUUUGAUAUUUGAAAUCAAUACAGUUGUUUUAUUAAAGUGAAUUGAAUUAUCGAGAUGUGAUUUGAGUUAUAUGUAACUAAGCAUGUCCUCAACUAAGAGAAUAAAUUCGGUGCACUUAUGAGUAUGAAGAUAGAUAGUCAGAAUGAAAAAAAAAAUUCUAUAUUUCAGAAAGUAUGAAAAGAGAUGAUCAUAAGUUAAAAAAAAAGCUUAUAUUGUGAUAAGCUCAUCCAAGUAUGUUGGUGCUUAUAUGAUGCUAUGCUCUCAACAUAUUUGAUUAAGUGAAUAUGGUAAGCGAAUUUACUUAAAUAGAUGGAAUGUGUGUUUAUGUAUAUUUGUUAGAAUAAGUGAAAUCAGUAUGUGCAUAUGGUAGAAUCUUAUGUUUAAUUGUUAAGUUAAAGAAAAUAAUAUAUUUUUUUAUGUCUUUACUAUUAAACCAUGAAUAUUAUAAUAGUAUGAAAAUUGAAUUGGAAGAUUAAAUUUAGAACGCAAGAAUGAGUAUUUUCGUUCAGUGAUAUGUGAUGAAUUAACGAAAAAGACCAUGGUUGGACCAUGGCAACAUGUGAUUUGUGAUUUUCGUAUAAGACCAUAUCUGGGAUAUGUCAUCGGUGUGAUAUGUGCUACUGUGUAAGACCAUAGCCGGACUAUGACAUCAAUAUGUAAAUUUGUGUAAGAUCAUAGUUGGACUAUGGCAUAGAGAAAAUGAAGUACUCAAUUCUGUAAGACGUUCUCUAAUUGAAUAAAUGUCGGUAAGUAUCGAAAUUUAAAUAGAUAUUAAUAUUGAGCUCGAGUAAAUAAAUUCAUUGUGUGAAAUUGUGGGUGGCAGAAAAUAUUCAUAAUAAAUUGAUGUGUUAAUUUGUUUGGAAUGAACUACGUGGUUAUGAUGGUAUUACAUUGAUGAUGAAUGCAAAGUCAUAUAUAUAUGUGUAUCUAUGAGAGUAAGUUAAAAGCUUUAUGUCUUCACCUUCACCCCCUCAUCAGUAUUGUUUUAUGAAAAAAUUAUCUUGAUGAGAUAGAUAUGUUUUUUAACUGAAUUAAUUCUAACAGUAUAGAAGUAAACACUUAAAUGUUUGAGUGAAAAUGUAUUGAUUAUGAGUUGAAACUCAUAAAGGCAUGGAUAAAAGAGUAUAACAUUUUGUUAUUGAUAAAUGUUAUAAUUAUAUGAGCACAUGACUUAUGAUAUUUGGAUUAUGAUGGUAUAUAGAAAUUUCGAUUGUGAAUUAGUGAUUUGAGUUGGCAUAUGAAUUAUGUGUUGAGAACAAAAGUGAUUAAAAGCAAUGUUUAUUAAAUGCUUUAAGAAUGUGAAAUUAGUAAUGAAUUGGCUAUUUGUGAUAGUAUGUGUCAUGCGCAUUUAUGUGUAAGAUAAAUCUGAGGCUUUACUACACUCACCCCCCAUAUCAGUAAAAUGUUACAAUGAAAUUUGUAAGAUGUUGGUUGAAUAAGCUUACGAGUGUAGUGUUACAGAAGUUUGUGUACGGAAGAUUAAUAAUGUGGUCAGAAAAGUGAAUGAAUUAGAAAAUAAAGACAAUAUAAAAAAAGAGAUAUUGGAUAGUUUUGAAAACUACUCAGAUUAUGCAAAGUUGUUGUCACAAAAGAAGUUAAAUCCGAUUAAAUGAUUUAUUUAAGUAUGUUAUUUAAAUAAAGAAUUAACCAAAAGCUUUUCUGGAUCGAUUUCUGUUAGUAAAGAGAUAAUGUGAAAAUUCUGAUGACAGAAUUAGACAAUUGAGUAAUGUUUGUAUUGUAUUAAUAGCUGAGUACAGUAGCUAUAAUGGGGUAAUUACUAUGAUUCCUUUUAGACAUUCUGUGUGUACAAUUAUCCUCAGAAGUAUAUGUGACUGUUUAGUUUCAAAAAAAAUUCUUAUCGUAUGAGAACAUUAGCUAAACAUAUUAAUAGAUGAAAGAAUUAUUGGUUUGUUUGGGUUAUGUUCGACAUUUCCAUGUUUUUUUUGGUAUUUAUUCCCUUGUGUGAAUAUGAAAAUCGACAGUAAAGUCUGUGUGAGGCUAAUAUUUUGUUUCUACUGGUUAUUGUUCUAUUGAAUAUACGUGAAGAUUAUAUUGCUUCUGUUACUUUGGAUUCCAUUAAUUAUGAGUGACAUUGAUCUUUCUAGACAUUUUAUUUUAUCAUAGGAAUGGAUAUCAUUCUAUAUGGAUUGUAAUUUUUCGAUACUUUGUGUAGCUUCAGAUGCUGAAAUAUCGCUAUCCUGAUUUUCUUAUGAAUUUAUGUGAUUAUCUAUAAAAGAUAUGAAAGUCCAAAAUCAUGUGUGAAUUUGAAAUGUACUGUAUGGAAGCAAAUCAUUAAUCUACUAUCUGGUAAGAUUUUCGAGGACGAAAAUCCCUAAAGGGGGAGAGUUGUAACAGCCCGAAUUUUGGGCUAGUCGGAAUAAUGGUUUUGGGACCACAAAUUCGACGAGAAAAAAUAUUUAUUUUCAUUAUAUUUUUAUGGUCUACGAUUUCACAAAAUAAUUUCGUGAAAAUUUCGUUUGAAAAUUGACGUUUGGGUACUCAAUUUAGUCAAAAGGACUAAAUUGUAAAAAGUGCAAAAGUUGAGUUCUACAUGUUAGAAGUGUCCAAUUGUUAUGAAAUUUUAAAUUGGAGGUCCUUAAAUGGUAAUUAGACCAUUGAUUAACUUUUUGGACAAAAAUGGACAAGAGAUAAGUGAAAUAGGAAAAUUUUAAGUUGGGGCAUUUUGGUCAUUUAGUAAUUAAAAGAAUUAAAAAGGCCAAAAUAGCCAAAAAUUUGUCCAUCUUCUCCAUGGUGAACGAAAUCAGUAAGGGGGAAGCCAUAUUUAGGGUUUUCAAGCUUCCAAGCUCCAUAGUAAGUGAUUUCAAGUCCCGUUUUUAAUGUUCUUUACAUUUUUAGUCUUGGUAACUUGAUUUAGCUUAUUCUAGCAACAAUUUAAUCUAGUGUUCAUAUUUGGAAAAAUAACCAUAGGUGAAAUAUAUUUAUUUUGAUGUUUUAUGGUAGAAUAUGAAGCUUGAAAUUAUGUUAAAUAACUUUUGCUAGUCGAUUUUAAGUGAAAACGAGUAAAUUGACAUAAUUGGUAAAAAUACCUAAUGUUCAUAAUUAAGUGUUAGAGUGAGAAUUUGAUGUUGUCAUAUAAGGGAAAAAUGUUCAGCGUGUCAUAAAACAUAAGAAAAAAGAAUAAAGUUUAAUUUCCGAGCCUAGGGGCAAAAUUGUAAUUUUGUAAAACUUUAGGGGCAAAAAUGUAAUGUUGCCAAAAUAUGAUUUUUGGCCUGGAUUGAAUAAUGUGAGUGUUAAAUAAGUUAAAUGUGUUAUUAUAAGUCAAGAAAGACAAGGAAUUGACUUUGAUUAGUGAAAAAGAAAAAAAUGAGAAAAAGUGAGAAAUUUCUCGAUUGAACAUUCGAAAUAAAAAGGGAUACGAAUGAAGUGACAGAAAUGAUCACAUGUAUGGCAUGGACUGUGUGUAGGCCACUAUGUGAAAGUGAAAGUGAUGGUCACGUGUGUAGUACUAUGUGCAGGCUACUACGUGUACCAAAAUGAUAGGUCGUAUGUGUAGCACUAUGUGCAGGCUACUACGCAUACCGGAUAGCUUCGAUCACGUGUGUAGUACUAUGUGCAGGCUACUACGUGUAUCGGAUAGUGAUGGUCACAUGUGUAGUACUAUGUGCAGGUUACUAUGUGAACCAGUAUCAUUAAUUAUAAGGUGAUUGUUAUGUGCUGAUCCCACCGGAUAUCAUUGAUUACAAAGGGUGGUUGUUGUGUGCUAAAUCCACCGUGUAUCUGUUAUUAUUCCGAAGUGUUCAUCGGGAAAUUGACUAAGUGAAAAUACAUGAGAUCAUGUAACGGUUAAGUGUGAUUGAAUGAUGAAUAUAUGUGUGGAAUUAAAUUGAAUAAUGAUUGAAAGUGAAAAAGUGAAAUUAUGAAAAAGUAAAAUUAGCAACAAAAUAGUUUUGGACAGUAAUAAUAGUGUGACUUUGAAAACUCACCAAAAAUGGUGAAAAUUAAAUUAGAGAGUGAAUAAGAUAUGAAAUGAAAGCUUAAUGAGUUUAUUUUUACAUAAAAGAAACAGAGCAAGCAAAAGAGUUAUAUAUUUUGAGAUAUUUGAAUUUUAGUGAGGCAGGGUCGGAUUGAUUUCAGAAUCACCUAUUCUGAUUUUGGAAAAUAAUUAAAGUUAUACAAAAAUAAUUAUGAGUUAUAAUUUAUAUGCUUAGUUCAAAGGAAAUAAACGGAAAUAUCAUCUGAAUUCUGUACAAUGAGAUAAUUCAUUUUUAGUGAAGAGAGGUCAGAGAUGUUGAGCAGUGAAACAUAGGUGACUUUAAAAAAUAAACUGUACAAAUUGGAUAACCAAAAAUUUUGAAAAUUUUAUGGUAAGAAGAUAUGAGAGUCUAGUUUCGGGGAAAAUUAACGGAACUUAAUUUGGAGCUCUGUAGAUCUGGAUAAAAAUAAUUUAGCGACUGUAACUCGACUAGACAACUUUGAAUUUAAAUAUAAGUGAAUAGUGAAAUUAUGUAUAAUGUUAUUUAAGCAUGUUAUAUACAUAAAGGAUGUGAGAUGGAGAGGAGGAGGAUGACAAUAAAAUAUAUGAAUGAAUUGUGUAUAAUUGGUUAAAUGUCUGAUUAUAAUCGAUAAAUGUUGAAAUAGGAGUGAUGCGUAUAUUGGUGCAUUACUGGUCAGCUCAUGAGAGAAUAAAGUUUCAUAGCAUAUGCGUGUGGUAUAUUUGGCAUGAAAUGGUGUCAUGAGUGGCUCAUGAAUUAACUGAUGUUGGUAAGUUGAUGCAUAAUUAUAGUAUUCAAAUAUAUACAUAUUUGUAAUAUUUUGCUAUGUGAUUCGAAAAAAGGGGAAUAAAUAGUAUACUAAAAAUUCGGCCAUGGUGCUAGUUUAUGUUGCAUGAGUGUUUUAUGACAUAUCUUAAGUAAUGGAAUGUUAUGAAUUUUGAGAUUAAUUUGCUAGUCAAAUAAAUGACAAAUGAAUUGAUUACGUAUUCGUAAUUUUGACAUAUGCUUGGUAUAUGAAACGUAAUAAUAUAUGCUUGAAUAAAUUUUAAGUAUUCGAAUGACAUGGAUUUAUGGUGAUAAGAUUCGAAUAUUGAAUUCAUGAAGCACAGGUGAUGUAUUAUUGUUGUGUGAUAGCUUGGUUCGAGGAAUUGGCUAGGUAAAUGGUAAGUGAAAGUAUUUAUGGAUAUAGAAGAAAAUUUGGAGUGAAUAUGAAAUUUAGCUCAAUUAAAUGAUUUCAUCAAUUAAACAUUGUGUAUACCAGAAUGUGUUAGUGAAUUACAUAUUCGUAAAUUGACAUUCAAAGUUCAGUUAGUGAUAUAUGAAAAUAACAUGAAAAGAUUUAUGAUUGUGAUUAAUAUUGAUUCUGACUUAAUGUGGAUUCUUCAAUAUUGGAUUGAUUUAACGGAUAUAUUGAGCAUAUGAAUAGGUAUGUAUUGGGCCUCGUAAACCCUAAUUAGCAACUCGAAGAUAAUAAUUUGAAAGUUUUUAAUUUGGAUGAAAUUUUAUAAGUCGAUUUAAUAUGUUUAUAAGUGUAUUUAUUCUGGCAAUGCCUCAUACCCUAUUCCAGCGUAGAAUACGGGUAAGGGGUGUUAUAAUGUGACAUCAUCAGAUUCGGCCCUAAUGUUUAGGCCGAGUUUGGGGUGUUACACGCAACCUACAAUACUGAGUUUUGGAUCAAAGAUUGCAUUUGAACCAAAACUUCAGAUUACGAAUUGAUUGAAUUGGUGGGAGUCUCCAUUUUUCUGUUAAGAAACAAAACCAUAAUUAGAAAACUUAUCAACUUUUCUUAGACGACAGGAAUCUAAUAAAACCCGAAACAAAAGUUUAUACGGUCAAACUAAAAAUAAAAUAAAUAAUGCACCAGAUAGGUAACCCUAAAAGAGAGGUGGUGCACUCUGCACGCUUAAAUACCAAGUCUUUCAAGGAACCAAUCCUAGACAUGCAUUUUCAUAUUGUCUUUUUAAUUCACCGUCGAUAAAUUUCUUUUAAUUCAAUUUAAAGCCACAAUUAAUGCUACCAUAAACAAAAAAGUUUCCCUUUGAUUUGUUAAACGACAGAAUAAAAUUCUGAAACAAAAUCAAAAUUAAUUUUUGUUAAAGGGCAGGAUUAAAUCCCGAAACAAAAUUAUAUCAUUAAAUCAAAAUAAAAUCUAUUAAACGACAGGAAUAAAUCCCGAAAUAGAAUUGUUUGAUUACGUCUUUGUUUGGAAACAAAACAAUAUCGAAUAAAAUCUUGUUAAACGGCGAUAAUAAAUCCUGAAACAGAUUUAUUUAAUUUAGUUCGAAUUUGGAAACAAAAUAAAAUCAAACAAAAUCUUUUUAAACGGCGGAAUAAAUCCCAAAACAGAUUUUAUUUAAUUUAAUAUCUCUUUUUUGGAAAUAAACCAAAUUUGGAAUGAAAUUGUUGAACGGCGGGAAUUAAUCCCGAAAAUAUUUUUAUUUUACUCAUUUUUGGAAAUGAAACAAAAUUGGAAUAAAAUCUUUGAAAGGCGGGAAUCAAUCCCGAAAUGAUUUUU
rnacentral:lncRNA from 1 species